rnacentral:rRNA from 8 species
AGUAACGGCGAGUGAAGCGGCAACAGCUCAAAUUUGAAAUCUGGCUCUUUCAGAGUCCGAGUUGUAAUUUGCAGAGGGCGCUUUGGCUUUGGCAGCGGUCCAAGUUCCUUGGAACAGGACGUCACAGAGGGUGAGAAUCCCGUACGUGGUCGCUAGCUAUUGCCGUGUAAAGCCCCUUCGACGAGUCGAGUUGUUUGGGAAUGCAGCUCUAAAUGGGAGGUAAAUUUCUUCUAAAGCUAAAUAUUGGCCAGAGACCGAUAGCGCACAAGUAGAGUGAUCGAAAGAUGAAAAGCACUUUGGAAAGAGAGUCAAACAGCACGUGAAAUUGUUGAAAGGGAAGCGCUUGCAGCCAGACUUGCUUGCAGUUGCUCAUCCGGGCUUUUGCCCGGUGCACUCUUCUGUAGGCAGGCCAGCAUCAGUUUGGGCGGUGGGAUAAAGGUCUCUGUCACGUACCUCUCUUCGGGGAGGCCUUAUAGGGGAGACGACAUACCACCAGCCUAGACUGAGGUCCGCGCAUCUGCUAGGAUGCUGGCGUAAUGGCUGUAAGCGGCCCGUCUUGAAACACGGACCAAGGAGUCUAACAUCUAUGCGAGUGUUUGGGUGUCAAGCCCGAGCGCGUAAUGAAAGUGAACGGAGGUGGGAACCCGCAAGGGUGCACCAUCGACCGAUCCUGAAGUUUACGGAAGGAUUUGAGUAAGAGCAUGGCUGUUGGGACCCGAAAGAUGGUGAACUAUGCUUGAAUAGGGUGAAGCCAGAGGAAACUCUGGUGGAGGCUCGCAGCGGUUCUGACGUGCAAAUCGAUCGUCAAA